rnacentral:rRNA from 1 species
AUUGAACGCUGGCGGCAUGCCUUACACAUGCAAGUCGAACGGCAGCACGGGACUCGGGCAACUGAGCCCUGGUGGCGAGUGGCGAACGGGUGAGUAAUGCAUCGGAACGUGCCCAGUAGUGGGGGAUAACUAGUCGAAAGAUUAGCUAAUACCGCAUACGACCUAUGGGUGAAAGCGGGGGAUUUUCGGGCAACCGAGAACCUCGCGCUAUCGGAGCGGCCGAUGUCNGAUUAGCUAGUUGGCGGGGUAAAGGCCCACCAAGGCUUCGAUCAGUAGCUGGUCUGAGAGGACGACCAGCCACACUGGGACUGAGACACGGCCCAGACUCCUACGGGAGGCAGCAGUGGGGAAUUUUGGACAAUGGGCGCAAGCCUGAUCCAGCCAUGCCGCGUGCGGGAAGAAGGCCU